GAUGAACGCUGGCGGCGUGCCUAAUACAUGCAAGUCGAGCGAACAGACGAGGAGCUUGCUCCUCUGACGUUAGCGGCGGACGGGUGAGUAACACGUGGAUAACCUACCUAUAAGACUGGGAUAACUUCGGGAAACCGGAGCUAAUACCGGAUAAUAUAUUGAACCGCAUGGUUCAAUAGAGAAAGACGGCUUUGCUGUCACUUAUAGAUGGAUCCGCGCCGCAUUAGCUAGUUGGUAAGGUAACGGCUUACCAAGGCAACGAUGCGUAGCCGACCUGAGAGGGUGAUCGGCCACACUGGAACUGAGACACGGUCCAGACUCCUACGGGAGGCAGCAGUAGGGAAUCUUCCGCAAUGGGCGCAAGCCUGACGGAGCAACGCCGCGUGAGUGAUGAAGGUCUUCGGAUCGUAAAACUCUGUUAUUAGGGAAGAAAAAAUGUGUAAGUAACUAUGCACGUCUUGACGGUACCUAAUCAGAAAGCCACGGCUAACUACGUG
rnacentral:rRNA from 1 species